UUCACUUUUGUUAACAUCAUGCUGGGCAAAUAACAUCUUCAGCAGACACGAUUUGCUAGAAAUCGGAUUACUCAGUGGAAGCGCCGUUACAGACGCGUUUAUCCGCGAAAACAACAUCCUAUCGGAAAUCGCCAGGAAUCCCGGAGACCCAUGAUUCACUAUUCCCGGAACUAAGCGUCGCAGACGGAGAAAGGAACGUAAACAAAAGCGGGGAUGCAGAGCCGGCCUGCUGGAGAGGCUAAGGAACCGCCCGGACAAACCACCGUUACCAAGUAUCUUUUUAACAAAUGCAAGAUCUCUCGCUAACAAGAUGGACGAACUGAGACUACAGGUUGCAACAAACAGGACUGUGAAGGACAGCUGCGUGCUAAUAGCCACAGAAACCUGGCUCCAUCCAUCCAUCCAUCCCGGACUUAGCUAUCGAGCUAGCUGGCCGCACCUCCCAUAGACAGGACCCGAGAAUUGUCGGGGAAAACGCGAGGUGGUGGCCUCAUUAUAUACACUAAGGAUUCUUGGGGCACAAACAAAAUCAGUGUGAGUAACCACUGUUCCCCGAUCCUAGAAAUUAUGACAGUUAAAUGCCGACCUAGAUACCUUCCGAGGGAGUUCAAUGUUGUAUUGAUAACGGCAGUAUAUAUUCCACCAGAAGCCAAUGCUAGCGCUAGAUUUUUUUGCUGCAGUAGCUUAGCAGUUGCUAUAUGACAGCACGGUGUUGCUAGUUAAUUUUCAAAAAUAAAUAAACAAACAAUACCAGUGGGCCAAGCACGAGCCUGUUCAUAUUGUAGCGUUCACCGCUAUUGCCACGCCUUACAGAACCAAUCAAUAGUAUAACACUCAUUAUGACUUUUCCCCACACUCGAAGACAACUCCUACCGUCUCGUACUCCCUCCACACACAUCGGAAAACACACACACACACACCUGGAAGGGGCGGUCUCUCCCUAACUCCCACCAACAACAUUGCCUAAAUAACUUUACGAAUGUACUAAACUGUGCACAUCUGAUAACUGACAUAACUAUUAACUUGGACACGCUACAAUAUUAUCAUUAAUAUUUACAUUAAAACACACACACGCGCACACGCACACGCACACACACACACGUUUGUCCUGCUCCGUUGGAGAUCGCGGUCGUUUACGCUGACUUGUGAGAAAUCUUUCCAUUUUCGAUCUGUGUUCGCAUACUGAGAAUUAUAACAACAUUAGCCAACUAACAGUUUGCGCUUUAACUUACAACGACCCCUGAUAGAUCUCGCGGAAUGUGUAUAAAUAUAUAUAGACGCAUUUUCAUAACAAAACAAUGGGGUUGCUAAGCCGUUGCUAGGUCAAUUGUUGGAGUUGCUAUAGCAACUCCAAGCUACCCCCUGGCGCCGCCCCUGGCUACAUGAUACUAUUAGCAGUCAACAAAGCAUGUAUCUUGAGGCUGUCCACAUCAUUGCGGGGGACUUUAACCAUGCCAACUUAAAGGUAGUGCUUCCCAGACUCUACCAGCAUGUUAAAUGUGCCACGAGGGGGGAUAAAACACUGGACAAGGUCUACACUAAUAUUAAGGGGGGCUACAAAGCUAAAGCGCUAGCGCACCUAGGCCAGUCAGAUCAUGUGUCCCUUCUCCUAAUUCCGGCAUACUCCCCCAUCAGGAAAAGUGUUUCCACCACUAUAAAGACAAUUAAAACCUGGCCUUUAGACGCCACUCCACAGCUGCAAGACUGUUUUGAGAACACCGACUGGGGUUUUUUCAAACAUGAGGACCUGGAACAGUACACAUCAGCGGUCCUGGGAUACAUCAAGCACUGUUCAGACUCCGUCACUGUGGAUAAGCGCAUCCGGGUUCAUCCCAACAAGAAGCCGUGGAUGACUGGAGAGGUGCAGCGCCUGGUCAGGGAGAGGGACAUUGCCUUCAGGACUGGUGAGAGGGAGCUGAACAGCACUGCCAGAGCCGACCUGAAGCGGGGGAUCAAGCGGGCCAAGAUGGACUACAAGGGGAAGAUUGAGGACUGCUUCCGGGGCAACGACUCCAGGCGGGUGUAGCAGAUGACCAACUACAAAAAACCCAGCCACCCCUCGGCCGACGGGGGUGACUCUCAGCUGGCGGAGGAGCUGAACUCCUUCUACGCCCGCUAUGAGAAGGGGCUAUCGGAAGCAGCCACACCAUUACAUCCACCUGCCCUCAGCAGCCUCACCCUCACGGAGCACAAGGUGAGACGCACACUGAAGGCAGUGAACCCGAGGAAAGCAGCGGGGCCGGACGGAGUCUUGGGACGGGUGCUGAGAGACUGCGCUGACCAGCUGGCGGGGAUCUUCACCAAGAUCUUCAACCAGUCCCUGUCCCAGGCCAUCGUCCCAUCCUGCCUGAAAACAUCCACAAUCAUCCCGGUGCCGAAAAAGAACAACAUCAGCUGCCUAAAUGACUACCGUCCAGUGGCACUCACCUCCACCCCCGCUAAAGUUUUUGAGAAGGUGGUCCGUCCCCACAUCGUCUCAUCCCUCCUUCCCGGUCUGGAUCCCCACCAGUUCGCCUACAGGGCCAACAGGUCCACGGAGGACGCCAUCGCCACAGCUCUCCACUCUACCCUGUCUCACCUGGAGAGUAGGGGGAGCUACGCACGGAUGCUCUUCGUGGACUUCAGCUCUGCAUUCAAUACCAUCCUCCCUGACAGACUGGUGACCAAGCUUAGUGCUAAUGCAGACAAAGCCUUCACACAAACCAGCUUCUGUAAUUGGAAAUGUGCAACUGAUAUCACCAAAGGUUUUUCAAGACAUGCAUCCAGCAAGGAAAAUUUGAAAUGCAACGCUCUCUGGAUCGAAUAUGGUGCUCCUAGUGCUACAGGAUCUGAGGUCUCCAUGCUUGUUAAUGAGGGGCAACUGGCAAGAAAUCGCCAAUAUUUAAGUACGAUCGUGGACAUCAUUGAGUUCCUUGUGUCACACCAGCAACCGCUCAGGGGGACGUUGGAUGCUGUGGAGUCAAGAGAAGACGUGGAAAGUGGACUGUUUUUGUCUAUGAUGGAAUAUACACUGAGGAAAGACCCGGCCUUAGCAAAGGCAUUCAGCACUAUUCCGAAAAAUGCCACAUACACAUCACAUGACAUUCAAAACGAAAUAAUAGGGCUCAAGAGUGAAAUAGUGACCAGUGAAAUAGUUGAAGAAAUAGGAGACCGCUGGUACACUUUAAAGGUGGACGGGACCAAGGAUCCAACAGGUUGUGAAAAUGUGUCAAUCGUGGGCCGUUAUCUAAAUAAGAACAAUGAUAUUUUUGAGAGACUGCUGGUAAUGGCCACUACGAAGCAUUGUGGUGCCCUAAGUCUGACAGACCUUGUCAUUUCUGAGCUAAGUAAGGCAGGCUUACAGUAACAACAGACAAAACCCACAGCCAGUGCUAUGAUGGUGCAAGUGUGAUGUCAGGGAAAAGAGGAGGCGUACAGAAAAUACUGCAGGAGAAAGUUGAGAGAGAAGUCCCAUAUGUGCAUUGCUUCAACCACCAAUUACAUCUGGUGGUUAUUCAUGCCAUGUCAUCAGAGAACACUCUGCAAGUAUUUUUUGAUGUGUGUGACAUGCUUUAUCGGUUUCUGAAAAAACCAACUGUGUCCGCAGUGUACACAGGACAACGCCUGAAAAGGUUAUUGGACCAAAGGUGGACCGGUCACCUAGGUACCGUGUCAGUCAUAGUCAACAGUUAUGAUUCUGUCGAGCAGUUCCUUGUGGAGAUUGACAGCAGUGGCCUUCCCACCCAACUAAGAGUAGAGGCAGCAGGCCUCCUAAAAGCAGUUCAAGAGCCCCACUUCAAGUUUACUGCGGUUAUGGUCCACAAAAUCCUCGCCCUUCUGGACCCUCCUAACAAAGUCUAGCAGGAUAAAAAAACAGACCUCUACACUGGAGUUAAGGUUGUUAAAAGUGCGUUGGAUUGCGUGGAGCAUCUCCGGAGUGACUCGGAGUUCCAAGCCAUUUGGGCAUAGUGUUCCACUUGCAGCCCAGCUGAUGCAUCAGAACCAGCGGCUCCUCCACCAAUGAAGAGAGCUCGCCAAGUCCCUACACCUGAAGCAGUACGUGGUUGAGAGUACUAUAGGUCAGCGGGACAUAGGAAGUGAGACAGAGUGCAAGCGGCUCUUCUUCAGCACAUUGGACAGUGUCAUUGGGGAAAUUAACAGGAGAUUUUCUGAACGAAACAGCCCUUUGUGCCCUUGACCCAGAAAAUCCUCACUUUUUGGAUGUGCAGAAGGUGACACCGCUGCUUGAGCUCAUGAAAACCAUGGUGGAAUCUGAGUUUGCUGUAGCUCGAAACUUUUUGCAGUCUGAAAUGGCCCGCUCUACUGGGGAUGUGCACCCGAGAAAAGCCUGCAUGAGACAAUUGGCAUGUGAGGCGGAUCUCACAAAACAAUUUCGGGAAAAAGACUGGAAGGAGCGCUUAUUCAGAAAGUUCAAUAAGCAAACAAGGAGGCUGCAACUUUACUGAAAUAAGUUCCUAGCGGGGCACCAUUGGUCAGCCUCGAAGUCUCUCCGGAAUCUGUGACAGGCGGAGACAACGUCAACGUGACCUGCACAGUGCUGGGGGAGCCGGAGGGGGACGUGAGCUUCACCUG